rnacentral:rRNA from 1 species
GUUUAAUUCGAGCAACGCGAAGAACCUUACCAGAGUUUGACAUAGUCUGAAGCUUCUUGAGAAAGAAGUGUUCCUUUAUGGACAGAUAUACAGGUGGUGCAUGGCUGUCGUCAGCUCGUGUCGUGAGAUGUUGGGUUAAGUCCCGCAACGAGCGCAACCCUCGUUCUAUGUUGCCAGCACGUGAUGGUGGGGACUCAUAGGAGACUGCCGGGGUCAACUCGGAGGAAGGUGGGGAUGACGUCAAAUCAUCAUGCCCCUUAUGUCUUGGGCUUCACGCAUGCUACAAUGGCCGGUACAAAGGGUUGCGAUACUGUGAGGUGGAGCUAAUCCCAAAAAGCCGGUCUCAGUUCGGAUUGAGGUCUGCAACUCGACCUCAUGAAGUCGGAGUCGCUAGUAAUCGCAGAUCAGCAACGCUGCGGUGAAUACGUUCCCGGGCCUUGUACACACCGCCCGUCAAGUCACGAAAGUUGGUAACACCCGAAGCCGGUGGCCUAACCCCUUUGUGGGAGGGAGCCGUCGAAGGUGGGACUGGCGAUUGGGACUAAGUCGUAACAAGGUAGCCGUACCGGAAGGUGCGGCUGGAUCACCUCCUU